rnacentral:rRNA from 1 species
AGAUCGAACGCUGGCGGCAUGCUUUACACAUGCAAGUCGAACGGCAGCGCGGGGCAACCUGGCGGCGAGUGGCGAACGGGUGAGUAAUAUAUCGGAACGUACCCAAGAGUGGGGGAUAACGUAGCGAAAGUUACGCUAAUACCGCAUACGAUCUAAGGAUGAAAGCAGGGGACCGCAAGGCCUUGUGCUCCUGGAGCGGCCGAUAUCUGAUUAGCUAGUUGGUAGGGUAAGCCUACCAAGGCUACGAUCAGUAGCUGGUCUGAGAGGACGACCAGCCACACUGGGAACUGAGACACGGUCCAGACUACCUACGGGAGGCAGGCGAGGUGGGGGUAAUUUGGUACAAGUGGG